GUGAAACGUUGUGGUUUUUGGUUGGAAGCAUUGCCGAGAUGGUGACCCUUGCUUUGUAUGUGAUAAAUGAACGGGUUAUCCCCCACCUUAGAUGACGGAGAGCCAAGCGAGACUGUGGGCCGUGUGGAUGGCGAGGACUUCGUAGAUUAUGCCGGAGAGUAGAUGUUAGCACUGGUUAGGCUACAUUUUUGGUUAGGCUUAGGGCCUAGUUUGUAUUUUUGGAUGACUGUAUGUCUUAUACAUUUAUACUCAGACAUGUUUAGUGCCUUUUGGCCUUGUGAUAUAUUCGGUUCAUAACUCGUAUCUUUUGGUUGAUGGACCUAAUGUAUCCGCUGUAUGUAAAUUAUUCAGGUACACAUUUGCUUUUCGAAGCCCUUAAUACAAUCGUUUGAUAUUGUAUAUUAAAA